GAGGUUAAAACGAGAUCUAAUUAGAGAAUUCAUCGACAAUGUUGUACCUUCUUUAAAUAAGGAUGAUGAUAUCGAUCAAGAAUAUGUUA
rnacentral:sRNA from 1 species